rnacentral:lncRNA from 1 species
AAGCAAUUUGCUCAUAGCCAUAGCUUUCUUGUGAAAGUAGGAUAUUAACCCAGGUGUCUUGGUGCUGGAGAACAGAACUGGCCAGAGUCCAUCCUGUCUCCCACCGGCAUCCCAUUACGAAAUGAACACAGAAAAGGCAGGUCUGCAAUGCCAACAUCUAGUAUCUAUCCCAAAGACCAGGGAGAAAGGAAGGAAAGAUUCUGGUUCUGUCCUCUUCCCCAAGGCAAGGCUGGCUGCCCUACCAACAGAGGCAAAGAGAAGAGUGUGCAAGGCUGGCUGCCCUCCCAACAGAGGCAAAGAGGAGUGUGUGUUGAAAUAUCCAUUGAAUCCCUGAGACAACUGGAUCCUGGCCCAUUGAAUCAUAAACUCAGCAGAAUCUCACAUCAUAACCCCAAAUGACCUGUUACUCACCAUGUGGCCCAGCUGUCUUCAAACUCACCAGCCUCCUGCCUUAGCCUUCUAAAUGCUUGGAUUACAGGCAUGACCCACCAUAACUGGCUUUGUUUUAGUUUCAGAGAAGAUGAAACUGAUGUGCGUCAAAAAGCUGGUAGUCUGUCAAGGAAAUGAGCUGAACAUGUCUGUGUACAGCUUUUGUGCCAUCCCUGGAUGAGCGAGCUGUCUGCCUCUAUGUUCUCCACAAAAUGGAAUAUAGCUGUACACCCAAGCCAAGUUAUGGAGGCUGGGAAGACCUAGAAUGUGGCAUCACUAUUUGGAAACCAUGCCGAUUACCGACCGAGCUCUCAAUGGAAAAAUGCAGUCGGCGUGAACCACGCACGAACACAGCAGAGAAAGAAGAAAACACACACCACGAGGAACCCUAAUAGGACAAUACAUUAUAAGCCUCAUGGUACAUCCACUUGGUGUGCUGGGAGAGUCAGGAUGAGGACCUGAGAAGAACAGCAGCUUGAACCUGACUUCAUUUAACAGCCCACUGCCCUCUUGCCAAGAACCCAUCACAGACCUUCCCAGAAGAGAGGGAUGAGCCUCACCUAUGAAUAAGUCCUCAGAAACUCAAAUUUGAUUCUAAUGGAUUGUUUUCUCAGAAAGACUGAGCAUGUCCCCCCACAUCUCUGUCAUUUCCCACAGUAGUAACCUCUGCAGAUGCCACAUAGAAAACAAAACAAAACAAAAAAACAUGAGGUUGGUGGGCAGAUAGGCAGGGUAUAAACAAACAGCCUUGUAACCCAGAAGCUGUGUGAUAUACAGUAAACUUCACAACACUGAAAAGAUGUCCUAUCUGUUAAAAUGGGGUAAUAACAACUACCCGAAUGUUUAGGAAUAGAACUUCAAUAAAUGAUACAUUUUAUAGUACAGCAGACCAUCCUGUAAAGGUUUCAUCCUUCACUGUGGUGAUAAAUAUCCCAAACCACAUUGAAAAGCAUUGCAUCUACAUUUAUCUACACUGUAACUGUACUGUAAAUCAUGGGGGAGGGGAGAAUCAUAAAAACACCACCUGUCACCGUGUCAUUAAAGCAAGUUGGAAGUGAUACUUACAGAAACACAGCAAGAGCACCCCCAGUCACACAGUUCAAUCUCUUAGCAAGCGUUUUCUUUCUAGCCCAGUGGUUCUCAGUUUGGAAUUUUUGGCACUGCCUAGAGAUAGUUUUGUUGUUAAAACUGAGAAAAGAGCCGGGCGUGGUGGCACACGCCUUUAAUCCCAGCACUCAGGAGGCAGAGGCAGG